UUUUGUAAAUAUUGGGGGGUCGUGAAGAUUCUAUCAGUGAGUAUUUGUUCUCGAAAGGGCUAUGAUUAAUAUUGAAUAAUCGGACAUAGUACGCUAAGGUUGUAUGUCUAAAGGGAAACAGCCCAGAACAAGUGCGUAUAAGGUUCCAAAAUUAUUGUUAAGUGAAAUAAAGGUAGUUUACGUCCUACACGGCCAGGAAAUGGGCUUAGAAUCUGCCAUUUUUUAAAGACCUCGUAACAGAGCACUGGCUUUGUCCCAGAUCUCAGAUCUAAAAUUAGUGUAAUCUCUUUUACACGGAUAUAAGCACCGACGAUACAACGGAUCUAAAUAAUAUACCGAUACCUUGUCCAUAAAUAUGUAUAUCAUCUUAAGAUGUACCGUAUAUGCAACAGAAGUUAUAUAUAGUUUUAUGGGGUAGCGGAACAUUGGGUAAACCACACUCUUUUAUUUUAUAAAUAAAAAAAGGUAUCCCAAGCGAUAAUGCUGACAUGAGUAACGAUAAAGGGAAGACGUAGCAAAAAACUAAAAUAGAUGAGCACUAAUAAUCCCUCGCCUAAAGCUUAUGGAAUUUAGUUAAAGUAACGGCCUCUAAGUUUAUCAAUAACUAAAGUAUAUUGUUUAUACAUAAAAGCAUUUAGUUAACCUAAAGGAUUAAACGAUGAGAAAAUCUAGAAGAUACAUAUAUUAACAUAUUAACAUUAGCAAUAACAGUGUGAAAGUGAUAAGUGUUCUGGAAAAGAGUAUUUUACUGUUUUCUUUAUAUUGAACAAACUGAAAAAGAUGAAGCAAAAGUAAAAGUAAAGUUACCGUACCUAGAUACUACCACAAGUAAGCAAGUAGAG
rnacentral:rRNA from 1 species